GAGGCCGUAGUAGUCGUUCUGGCUCCACUUCUCGAACGGGUGGUGAUGGCACCGCGCACACUGGAUGCGAAGGCCGAGGAACAGCUGCGCCGUGUCCUCGACCUGCUCCUCGACGGUGUCUACUUCGCGGUACCAGACGGCCGGGGGGUUCGACGAGGCGUCCCCCGAGGCGGUCAGCAGCUCCCGCACGAACCGGUCGUAGGGCUUGUUCUCGUAAAGGCUCUGCCAGACCCAGCGGUGGAAGGCGUAGGUGCCCGGCUUGUCGGUCUCUUCCC
rnacentral:misc_RNA from 1 species